rnacentral:siRNA from 1 species
UCGGGGGCAUUCGUAUUUCAUAGU